AAUCUUAGUCUGUGCCUUAAGUGCUUAAAGCCUAUGAUGAAGAAAAACGUAUAAGAGUAGUGGACAGAAGUGAUUUCUGAGAAUCUGUAUUCUGAGGCAUUGCAAAAUAUUUUAUGCAUUAUUUAAAAUGAGUGCAAGGUUGUAAUGAGCUUCUCUUUGCAGGUAUUUGAAAUACUGCCAGACUAUUGCAAGUCCCAAAAGGUACAUGUGCCAUGCGGAUGAAUUGAAAGGUUCCUCCUGAAGCAGAAAACCUGAGCAUGAAGAUGACAUCAGCUCCACACGGAGUUUACCAGAGAGUGGUGUAACCUGAUCUUCAAUAUGAAGUCUUGACUGUGAAGGCAACGGUGGUACUUCUGUGAAAGUUUUGGUUUAACUUGAAGCAAGGCGGAUGGUCCUUCCUCUUGUCCAAUGUGCAGAAGACCCUAAAAUUUCUCUCCGGGUGUCUGCUCAUUGACAGGUGGUGAAGGCCUUGGUGCUGCAUGCCGUCAUUUGCCAGUUACAGGUGGCUCUGCAUCACGAGAAUGUCUUUGGAAAGCAUUAAGAAUGACGAUUGGUGGACAUCUUUCCAAAGCUGUUAUCUACCCAAGCUGAACCUGAAGAAAUUGUGGAAAUUAAGCUUUAUGUACUUUGGAAGUACCAUGUCUUAUUUAAACUGUUCUGAUUGAAUAAAGUCAUACUUUGAUACGAA